UGUUUUCCAUUGGCUAAUUCGUUUGCGCGCGGACCCACAAUCGUGCGCACGGCCCCACGAACGCCACAGCCAAUCGGGCCCUUUUCUUUGCACGCGGCACCACGUAACCCCGCGUUGUGGCUAUAAAUGCGUUGUCGACCUGGUAAACAUCAUUAAAGUCCGUAGAUUAAGAGCGAGAAGAGUUUUGAAGAGUGUCGAAGCUUUUGGAGAGGAUGGCAUGCAAGUGCGGAGAUCCCAGGUGCGUGUGUACCACGCAGUGCAAGUGUGCCCGCGGCGGAUGCCCCUGUGACAGGUGCAAGAUGUAGGACCUCGCACUGCGGGAGUCUCUGGUGCUUGAGCCAUGGAAGCUUCCAGAAAGCCUGAAACAUGAAA